rnacentral:tRNA from 1 species
GUCAGGUUGCCUAAGGGGCUCGAAGUGGGAGACCUCUGUAAAUCCGUCGGCUUAGCCUUCGAAGGUUCGAAUCCUUCACCUGCCA